GUAGGUGGCAAGCGUUGUCGGGAAUUAUUGGGGCGUAAAGCGCGCGCAGGCGGUUCUUUAAGUCUGAUGUGAAAGCCCACGGGCUCAACCGUGGAGGGUCAUUGGAAACUGGAGAACUUGAGUACAGAAGAGGAAAGCGGAAUUCCACGUGUAGCGGUGAAAUGCGUAGAGAUGUGGAGGAACACCAGUGGCGAAGGCGGCUUUCUGGUCUGUAACUGACGCUGAGGCGCGAAAGCGUGGGGAGCAAACAGGAUUAGAUACCCUGGUAGUCCACGCCGUAAACGAUGAGUGCUAAGUGUUAGGGGGUUUCCGCCCCUUAGUGCUGCAGCUAACGCAUUAAGCACUCCGCCUGGGGAGUACGGCCGCAAAGGCUGA
rnacentral:rRNA from 1 species